UUUUUUUUUUUUUUUUUUUUGUUCCCACAUACGACGGGUGGGGUUUGCAAGUGCGCUUCUGCCAUAUGGACAUUGAGUGGUGUUGGUUUGAGGAAGAGUUGCAGGCAUCACAACAACACGGACAAGAUCCUCUAACUGGACCUUUUUGUGUGUGGUCGUGGAUCCUGAGAUUUCAACUGUGGAGCAGAGGCGUGAAAAUCAAGGAUGGGCUCUGUUUUGUGGAGUGCAGGGGGCUGCAUAACCCCAGAGGGAACUGAGAGGGCGAUAUAAGUACACCUGGUUAGUGCACUUGUCUUCACCUCAACCCUCAUAAGCACUCACACCCUGCCCUCACCAACUCACCUAUGCACUUUUGUUCAUUCAAGCUGUGAGGUACCAUUUUGGGGAUGGGAGCACAAUUACAACAGGAGGAUUGCUGCGAUUCGCUGUCGCUGAAAAGAUAUUCCCAAACUGAAACAAGAGACUUGAGAAGCACGUCUUCUCCCACCUCCUGUAUAUAACCAUAUUUUUGUAUUACCUUUCAGAGUAGAAAGAAAAUUUGCGAAAUGGAUGAAGGAAAAUUCAUGAGACAUUGAUCAUAUGGAGUGAAUGUUCUUCAGAAAAACCAAUCUUUUUGAAUAUAGUUUGAGAUAGACUCGCUGCGAGUUUCCCUUAGUUUGCCAGUAACCCUGAAAUAAUCGGGGAUGGAAGGGAAACCCACAUGGACAAGGACUGAGGUUUUGGACAUGUGACUCCAAGACUGACUGAUAGUUACUUAUCAAAAUGGAUGUCGCAGUCGCUACAAAGAGCCCCACUAAGAGUGUUUGAUCAACAUGCACAGUAAAGGGGCAGACAUGAGUUUGAAGAGCUGUUGGCAAGGAUGCUUCCACUUCAUCUCCCAACCUGAUGCCUUGAGAGCUGUAGAGUGACUUCAGGGGGGAAAUCCUCUGCAUGGGAUUGUAUUGGACAGCAGGGUGAUGAUGGUCUCGUGCUCUCUUCUGUCUUCUCACAGGAGUCUGGCUGUGCUUUAUUUGCUGCCCUCUGCAAGGAGGAUCUAAUCUACAGCCAACCCAUGAACCAGUUAACCCUAAACCUGUCCUUUUUGAACUUAAACCCUAAGAAACUUUUCUGUCUUGACCUCGGACUGGGCAGGCCAUUGGCAUUAUCAGUUAGACAGUUACCAGAUGAAGUUACAAGUUUAUCGACCAUGAAUCCCAUCUGUGUUAGGUUUGGGAUUUGAUCGGGCGCUCUCCGACGAGGAAGAGGAUAAAGAAGUACGUAUCGCCCAGAUGUCACCGCCCACCUCGGCCUGAAACUCAUGUGGCUGCGUGGAGGUCUUCUUACCGACGGGACAGAAGAGCCCUCCUGCCCAGAAGUCAGAGACUGAGAGUUGGGUUGGGUUUCGAUGGAUGUGGCUGGAUUACAUCUAAGCCACCAGAAAGCCCUGCAGCCGUGGAACUGGAUGAACUAAAAGAAUUGUACAAAAACAAAAAAGACUUUGAAACAUGACAAAACACAAACACAAACACGUAGCUACAUGUCACAUAGAUUCUAGAGUCCAAAGGAGUUGCAGACACACUACAUGCACACCUACAGCAAAAGCCACAUACGCUCAGUUACAUUGGCUCUCCUCUGGAACCACGUCUGCACACACACACCAGGGCGGCAUCAAUAUCACAUCACACGGAUACAGACACACACAAGCAUCAACGCUCAUCACUAUAAACGCUGAGCUUUGUAAAUAAUGUAAAAGUUUGUGUUUUUUGAUUUUUCUCUCAUAGUGGGUUUUGCUUUAUUUCUCUGUUCAACAUGCCUUAAAUUGUAUAGUUCAGUCCUCAACGGCUAACUGAAAAUGUUCUCUAAAGGAUGAAUUUAAGUUGGAAAUCACCUUGUUGACUGUCCUCUCAAGUCCAAGAAAGAAAGGAGCGUUCAUAAAGACAGCUAGCUUUCUGUUAGCUAACAACAUUCUGUUCUGUAUGAACCUGAUACAUGUACCACCAUGAAAAUAUUAGUUAGCUACAGAAUAGAGCAGCAAGCGGUCUUUGAUUAAUCUGAUUUUGCUGUUGUUGGCUUUUGUUGCCCUUUUGGUUUCCUUAAAAUGAAGAGUGGAUUUGUUCAGAUUUCCUGUUUAGAUUAUUGCUGAAGGUGCAGGCUUAAUAAAGGGCUGAAGUCUGUACUGUGUGGAGCUGAGCUGACUGGGUGGGAUGCAGAGGAUUGGCUUGAAGCACAGACUUGUAUCUGUGCCAUAACUGUUGCUGGAUAUACUGUUCUUGGCAAAACUAAACCAGUGACAGGUCCUCCUCAAAUUAAGACACAAGUUGGGGCUUUUUGUGAAAUUCUUUUACACUCCGGAAGCUACUAGGUACUUUUUACAGUUUUGAGAUGUCAAAUCAGGCUUGUAUUGGAAGCAGAUUGUUAGGGCAAGCUUGCAGGAUUUGUAAUAUUUGUGGGUUUUGACACUAAACCUUGAGGUGGGUCGCAGUUUGGUCCAGAUUGCCUCUGCUUUGUCUGCGCACCUGGUGGUACUGCCGACCAUCUCCGAUGGAACUGAAUAGAUAAGGAAUCGGCCAGUCAGUUGUGUUAUUUGAAAGGAAAUUCCAUGUGCCGAAAAUUAGGAAAGUGUCUCGUUCCAUGUACGUAUAUCUAAUUGGAUUUGAGAGAUUAAUGCUUUUAGUCAACCAGUAGUUUAUUUGUAUCCUUGAUAACUAAACACUAUGCAGUUUUUAAUCCAAAUAGCAACUGAUACUCAUUGAAUCCUAUCAGCUUAUACUUGUAAUACAAGUGUACGUUUUGUUUAGCUGAGGUUUUUGUGGAUAGUUGCCUGCUAUAGCUAACUGUGUAAACUGAAGUAGCUGAGGUAAGCUCCAGUAUGCCAUAAGUGUUGAAUUGAUACUGAAUUAAUACUAAAUGGUAAAGUUGAAUGUUGUUGUAAUCAGUUGCCAAAACAAAAACAUCAACUUUAACCAUAUGAGUAUACUAUCAAGUCUCUUGUUUGUGAAUGACUUUAAAAAUAUCUAUGACAUUUUUAAACGCUGAUAUUGUGUGGUAUUAGUUGUUGGUCGGUCAGUCAGUCAGUCUUAAAAGAGUAAACCGACGUAGUUUGCAGUUUAUUUUACUGCACUACACAUGCUUUUAUGAUUAGAUAAACUGCAAAACUGUUGUCAAAAAGCCCUGGAUGUUUGGUUGCAGCCUUUGAAAAGAUCCUGUCAUGGCAUGUUGCUUGACGGUAUGCAGUAGUUCAUCCGGUUUAUGUUUUGCUCUGGUAACUGUAGUUCCAACAAUAUAAUGGAAGUUAAAUCCCAGUCAGCUCAGCUCCUCUGCUUAAUGAAUCUUUGAAUGUUGUUAAAAUAACAGCAUACUUGUAUGAAACUGUUUUGGAAAAGAACAACUGAAAGAUGUGUAAAUAGUUUGGCUUUUGUUUGUUUGAAGAACAAAAUAAAUACUAAAUAAAUAGCAUUUAGCAA